rnacentral:rRNA from 1 species
AACGAACGCUGGCGGCAUGCCUAACACAUGUAAGUCGAACGAGACCUUCGGGUCUAGUGGCGCACGGGUGCGUAACGCGUGGGAAUCUGCCCUUGGGUUCGGAAUAACAGUUGGAAACGACUGCUAAUACCGGAUGAUGACGUAAGUCCAAAGAUUUAUCGCCCAAGGAUGAGCCCGCGUAGGAUUAGCUAGUUGGUGAGGUAAAGGCUCACCAAGGCGACGAUCCUUAGCUGGUCUGAGAGGAUGAUCAGCCACACUGGGACUGAGACACGGCCCAGACUCCUACGGGAGGCAGCAGUGGGGAAUAUUGGACAAUGGGCGAAAGCCUGAUCCAGCAAUGCCGCGUGAGUGAUGAAGGCCUUAGGGUUGUAAAGCUCUUUUACCCGGGACGAUAAUGACAGUACCGGGAGAAUAAGCUCCGGCUAACUCCGUG